rnacentral:rRNA from 1 species
AACAUCGCUCUUUGAAAAAAUAAUUAUAAAGAGUACUGCCUGCCCAGUGAUAAAAUUUAAACGGCCGCGGUAUUUUGACCGUGCAAAGGUAGCAUAAUCAUUUGUUCUUUAAUUGAGGACUAGUAUGAAAGGCAAAACGAAAGCUUAACUGUCUCCUUUUUAAAAAAUGAAAUUAGUAUUUUUGUGAAGAAACAAAAAUAACAAAGUAAGACGAGAAGACCCUGUCGAGCUUAAGAAAAUUUUUAUAAUAAAUUUUUAACAAGAUAAACAAAUUCUACUAUAAAAAUAAAAUAAAAAUAUCUUUGGUUGGGGCAACCACGAAGAAAAAAAAACCUUCGUUUUUAAAAAAAAAUUUACAAAUUUAAAAAUUAUUAAAAAUUUAAAAGAUCCAGAAAAUUCUGAUCAAAGAAAAAAGUUACCGCAGGGAUAACAGCGUUAUUCUCUUUAAGAGCUCUUAUUGACAAGAGAGUUUGCGACCUCGAUGUUGGACCGGGGCACCCAAGAGGUGUAGCAGCCUCUAAAGGUAGGUCUGUUCGACCUUUAAAGCCCUACGUGAU